CGCGUAGGCGGUCCCUUAAGUCAGGUGUGAAAGCCCGGGGCUUAACCUCGGAAGUGCAUUUGAAACUAUGGGACUUGAGUACGGGAGAGGGAAGUGGAAUUCCUGGUGUAGCGGUGAAAUGCGUAGAUAUCAGGAGGAACACCGGUGGCGAAGGCGACUUCCUGGACCGACACUGACGCUGAGGCGCGAAGGCGUGGGGAGCAAACA
rnacentral:rRNA from 1 species